AGAGUUUGAUCCUGGCUCAGAUUGAACGCUGGCGGCAGGCCUAACACAUGCAAGUCGAGCGGUAGCACAGAGAGCUUGCUCUCGGGUGACGAGCGGCGGACGGGUGAGUAAUGUCUGGGAAACUGCCUGAUGGAGGGGGAUAACUACUGGAAACGGUAGCUAAUACCGCAUAACGUCGCAAGACCAAAGUGGGGGACCUUCGGGCCUCAUGCCAUCAGAUGUGCCCAGAUGGGAUUAGCUAGUAGGUGGGGUAACGGCUCACCUAGGCGACGAUCCCUAGCUGGUCUGAGAGGAUGACCAGCCACACUGGAACUGAGACACGGUCCAGACUCCUACGGGAGGCAGCAGUGGGGAAUAUUGCACAAUGGGCGCAAGCCUGAUGCAGCCAUGCCGCGUGUGUGAAGAAGGCCUUCGGGUUGUAAAGCACUUUCAGCGGGGAGGAAGGCGGUGAGGUUAAUAACCUCAUCGAUUGACGUUACCCGCAGAAGAAGCACCGGCUAACUCCGUGCCAGCAGCCGCGGUAAUACGGAGGGUGCAAGCGUUAAUCGGAAUUACUGGGCGUAAAGCGCACGCAGGCGGUCUGUCAAGUCGGAUGUGAAAUCCCCGGGCUCAACCUGGGAACUGCAUUCGAAACUGGCAGGCUAGAGUCUUGUAGAGGGGGGUAGAAUUCCAGGUGUAGCGGUGAAAUGCGUAGAGAUCUGGAGGAAUACCGGUGGCGAAGGCGGCCCCCUGGACAAAGACUGACGCUCAGGUGCGAAAGCGUGGGGAGCAAACAGGAUUAGAUACCCUGGUAGUCCACGCUGUAAACGAUGUCGAUUUGGAGGUUGUGCCCUUGAGGCGUGGCUUCCGGAGCUAACGCGUUAAAUCGACCGCCUGGGGAGUACGGCCGCAAGGUUAAAACUCAAAUGAAUUGACGGGGGCCCGCACAAGCGGUGGAGCAUGUGGUUUAAUUCGAUGCAACGCGAAGAACCUUACCUGGUCUUGACAUCCACAGAACUUACCAGAGAUGCUUUGGUGCCUUCGGGAACUGUGAGACAGGUGCUGCAUGGCUGUCGUCAGCUCGUGUUGUGAAAUGUUGGGUUAAGUCCCGCAACGAGCGCAACCCUUAUCCUUUGUUGCCAGCGGUUAGGCCGGGAACUCAAAGGAGACUGCCAGUGAUAAACUGGAGGAAGGUGGGGAUGACGUCAAGUCAUCAUGGCCCUUACGACCAGGGCUACACACGUGCUACAAUGGCAUAUACAAAGAGAAGCGACCUCGCGAGAGCAAGCGGACCUCAUAAAGUAUGUCGUAGUCCGGAUUGGAGUCUGCAACUCGACUCCAUGAAGUCGGAAUCGCUAGUAAUCGUAGAUCAGAAUGCUACGGUGAAUACGUUCCCGGGCCUUGUACACACCGCCCGUCACACCAUGGGAGUGGGUUGCAAAAGAAGUAGGUAGCUUAACCUUCGGGAGGGCGCUUACCACUUUGUGAUUCAUGACUGGGGUGAAGUCGUAACAAGGUACCCG
rnacentral:rRNA from 1 species